rnacentral:lncRNA from 1 species
CCCUACCAAGUUCAGCACCAGACACCGCUGAACCAACUACAAAAGAGUCUUAUUUCCAACUUUUUUUUGAAGGUUCCACAACCGUUGGGUUAAAUGACCGGGUGAGGGUCACCAAACUUAGAAGGCGCAUUCCUUGUUUUUUUUUCCGGAGCACUCACUUAUAUUCAUCGGCUUCCCUACGUAGAGUGCGUGUGAGAUGGUGCUGACUGCUGAAAUAAACUACUCAAGAGCUAU